rnacentral:rRNA from 1 species
UACGGGGGGGGCAAGCGUUGUUCGGAAUUACUGGGCGUAAAGGGCUCGUAGGUGGCCAACUAAGUCGGACGUGAAAUCCCUCGGCUUAACCGGGGAACUGCGUCCGAUACUGGUUGGCUUGAGUUUGGGAGAGGGAUGCGGAAUUCCAGGUGUAGCGGUGAAAUGCGUAGAUACUGGGAGGAACACCGGUGGCGAAGGCGGCUACCUGGACCGGUUCUGACGCUGAUGCGCGAAAGCGUGGGUAGCAAACAGG